GGUAAAAGUCGUAACAAGGUUUCCGUAGGUGAACCUGCGGAAGGAUCAUUAAAGAAUUGCCCCGUCUUCUCGAAGAUGGGUUCUAUCCAAACCGUGUUUACAUACCUUUGUUGCUUUGGCGGGCCGCCGCUUCGGCGUUGGCUCCGGCUGACUGCGCCCGCCAGAGGACCACAACUCUUUUGUUUAGUAAUGUCUGGGUACUAUAUAAUAGUUAAAACUUUCAACAACGGAUCUCUUGGUUCUG
rnacentral:misc_RNA from 1 species